AUUGAACGCUGGCGGCAUGCUUUACACAUGCAAGUCGAACGGUAACAGGUUAAGCUGACGAGUGGCGAACGGGUGAGUAAUGCAUCGGAACGUGCCCGGUCGUGGGGGAUAACGCAGCGAAAGCUGCGCUAAUACCGCAUACGAUCUGAGGAUGAAAACGGGGGACCGUAAGGCCUCGCGCGAUCGGAGCGGCCGAUGUCAGAUUAGGUAGUUGGUGGGGUAAAGGCUCACCAAGUCAACGAUCUGUAGCUGGUCUGAGAGGACGACCAGCCACACUGGGACUGAGACACGGCCCAGACUCCUACGGGAGGCAGCAGUGGGGAAUUUUGGACAAUGGGCGAAAGCCUGAUCCAGCAAUGCCGCGUGCAGGAAGAAGGCCUUCGGGUUGUAAACUGCUUUUGUACGGAGCGAAAAGGUCUCCUCUAAUACAGGGGGCUCAUGACGGUACCGUAAGAAUAAGCACCGGCUAACUACGUGCCAGCCGCCGCCGUAA
rnacentral:rRNA from 1 species